rnacentral:misc_RNA from 1 species
AAAAGUCGUAACAAGGUUUCCGUAGGUGAACCUGCGGAAGGAUCAUUACCAAUUUAAUCCAUAUAUUACAACCCUUGUGCACUGUGAUAUUGUUUGUCUUUGGGGUGGCAGGGUUUUGUAUCUGCAAAAUGUUUGCUGCCCCACAUUUAUUCAACACUGUUUUAUUUUUGUUUGGUAUCUUUUUGUAUAAAUAAAAAUGGACAACUUUUAACGGUGGAUCUCUUGGCUCGUG